rnacentral:rRNA from 1 species
AGAGUUUGAUCCUGGCUCAGGAUGAACGCUAGCUACAGGCUUAACACAUGCAAGUCGAGGGGCAGCAUGAACUUAGCUUGCUAAGUUUGAUGGCGACCGGCGCACGGGUGAGUAACGCGUAUCCAACCUACCCUUGUCCAUCGGAUAACCCGUCGAAAGGCGGCCUAACACGAUAUGCGGUUCUCAGCAGGCAUCUAACGAGAACGAAAUGUGAAGGAGAAGGAUGGGGAUGCGUCUGAUUAGCUUGUUGGCGGGGUAACGGCCCACCAAGGCGACGAUCAGUAGGGGUUCUGAGAGGAAGGUCCCCCACAUUGGAACUGAGACACGGUCCAAACUCCUACGGGAGGCAGCAGUGAGGAAUAUUGGUCAAUGGACGGGAGUCUGAACCAGUCAAGUAGCGUGCAGGACGACGGCCCUAUGGGUUGUAAACUGCUUUUAUAGGGGGAUAAAGUGUGCCACGUGUGGCAUAUUGCAGGUACCCUAUGAAUAAGGACCGGCUAAUUCCGUGCCAGCAGCCGCGGUAAUACGGAAGGUCCGGGCGUUAUCCGGAUUUAUUGGGUUUAAAGGGAGCGUAGGCCGUCUUAUAAGCGUGUUGUGAAAUGUCGUGGCUCAACCUGGGCAUUGCAGCGCGAACUGUGAGACUUGAGUGCGCAGGAAGUAGGCGGAAUUCGUCGUGUAGCGGUGAAAUGCUCAGAUAUGACGAAGAACUCCGAUUGCGAAGGCAGCCUGCUGUAGCGCAACUGGCGCUGAAGCUCGAAAGCGUGGGUAUCGAACAGGAUUAGUACCCUGGUAGUCCACGCGGUAAACGAUGGAUGCUCGCUGUUUGCGUCUGCACGUAAGCGGCC